AACGAACGCUGGCGGCAGGCUUAACACAUGCAAGUCGAACGCUCGUAGCAAUACGGGAGUGGCGGACGGGUGAGUAACGCGUGGGAACGUGCCCUGAGGUACGGAAUAACUGAGGGAAACUUCAGCUAAUACCGUAUGAGCCCCGAGAGGGGGAAAGAUUUAUCGCCUUGGGAGCGGCCCGCGUCGGAUUAGCUAGUUGGUGGGGUAACGGCCUACCAAGGCUUCGAUCCGUAGCUGGUCUGAGAGGACGAUCAGCCACACUGGGACUGAGACACGGCCCAGACUCCUACGGGAGGCAGCAGUGGGGAAUCUUGCGCAAUGGGGGCAACCCUGACGCAGCCAUGCCGCGUGAACGAUGAAGGCCUUAGGGUUGUAAAGUUCUUUACCCGUGACGAUGAUGACGGUAACGGGGGAAUAAGCUCCGGCUAACUUCGUG
rnacentral:rRNA from 1 species